rnacentral:rRNA from 1 species
AUGCUUUGGAGGUGGACGGCCGACGGCACUUACACGGCGCAGUCCUGCUAUGCUGCAACCUUUCAUGGAUCCACCAGAUGCCCCUCAUGGAAGCUGACAUGGAAGAGCUGGGCACCACCCAGAGUCCGAUUCUUCCAUUGGCUGGCCAGCAUUGGCUGGCCAGCCAGGACCGGUGCUGGACAGCAGAACGGCUGGCCCGUCGCGGCCUGCAGCACCACCCCAGAUGCCUCCUCUGCGACCAGGCGCCGGAGACCAUCCAGCACCUGUUCCUGA